AUUGAUCUGUUUAUGGUGGAGAUUAUGCACAUGCGCCAUGAAUUUGAUGCGGACACACGGUUGGUUCAGGGUCUUGUCAUUGAUCAUGGUUCUAGGCAUCCUGAUAUGAAGUGACAAGUAGAAAACUGUUAUGUCUUGACAACCAAUGUAUCUGUGGAGUAUGAGAAAAGUGAAGUGAACUCUGGAUUUUUCUAUUCAAAUGCAGAGCAGAGAGAAGCAAUGGUUUUAGCUAAAAGGCGUCAGGUUGAUGAGAGAGUUAGAAAGAUUAUUGAGCUGAAAAAUAAGGUUUGUUCUGGUAAUGACAAUAAUUUUGUCGUUAUCAAUCAGAAGGGAAUUGAUCCCCCAUCUCUGGACCUUCUGGCAAGGGCCAAGAUUAUUUCUCUGAGAAGAGCAAAGAGGAGAAAUAUGGAACGGUUGGUUUUGGCUUGUGGAGGGGAGGCUGUGAAUUCUGUAGAUGAUUUAACUCCUGAUUGCCUUGGCUGGGCUGGACUUGUAUACAAGCAUGUCCUUGGUGAAGAGAAGUAUACAUUUGUCGAAAAUGUGAAGAACCCUCAUUAAGAUGAAGCUGUAAUCUUGGGUGCUGGAGCUUUUGAAGUUGCAGCGAGACAAUAUCUGAUAAAUGAAGUGAAGAAAACUGUUCAAGGGCGAGCUCAACUUGGUGUUGAAGCUUUUGCUUACACUCUCCUUGUGGUACCCAAGACACUAGCUGAGAAUGCUGGCCUUGACACACAAGAUGUGAUAAUUUCUCUCAAGGGAGAGCAUGAGCGUGAAACAUUGUCGGACUAAAUCAUCACACUGGGGAACCCAUUGACCCACAAAUGGAGGGGAUCUUCGACAACUACUCUGUGAAGCGGCAGAUUAUAAACUCGGGGCCUGUAAUUACAUCUCAGUUGUUGUUGGUGAAUGAAGUGAUCCGUGCUGGGCGCAACAUGGGGAAGCCGACUUAG